rnacentral:lncRNA from 1 species
CAUUGGCUGUGGGUUUCUUGUGAUGUCACAAAAGCACUUGGCAACUGAGUGGAUAUAAAGGCAGGCCAAGGGGAAAGCCCUUUUCUAUUUCCAGCAGGAAACACCUGGCAAUGGAUGUGACAUUCAGCACUGCCCAGGUUUCUUUCACUUGGAGGAGGCAAACUGGUGAAUGGAAUGAGGCAAUCCUCUGGCAGUGGGAUGCUAUGGAGCAAUAAUAAGGCAAGUUUGCUUGCUUGAAGGCUGCUGGUAUCUGUGAUUAGAAGCUGGCGGACAUCUCAUGAUGGAACUAACAGUAGCUUCUGGCACAAUGGGACACCGUGAUGGAAACCAGAGCGCACGGAAACACCGUUUACCUUCCCGCUGCAGUGGUACCUAUUUAUCUAUUUGCACUGGUUUGCUUUCAAACAGCUAGGUUGGCAGGAGCUGGGACAGAGCAACGGGAGCUCACUCAGUCACACGGAUUCGAACCGCCGACCUUCCGAUGCAAGAUUUGUCUGCCCCUCCAGCUAACAUCAGCAACCUGAGGCUCCUGCCUCACUCUGCCUAACGGUAGGGCCAGCUGUGUCUAAGUACGGCCCUCUGAUUGAUGACUGUGUGAAACCUUUCCUCUCCCAAUUACGUAGGAGACAACUCCUAGAGGCCAAGGUCCUUUUGACCCACCCAAUAAAAUAUUUGAGGGGGCCAGCCCUCCCCCCAAAAAAGUUGCUGAGCAUUCAAAUGGUGUGUGUGUGCUAUGUUUUGUGAUUGGUUAUGCGACACGGGGCUUACCUGCUCCCCCAAUAUUUUAUUCAAGUUGGCAUCCCAGCUCCAUUACAGGGCCACCCUCUUAGUGCAGUUGGUUUCAAAGUGACCCAGUUGGCACAUGUGUAAUUGUGUCCAUUUAAAUGGCCUGUGGGUUCCUCCGUCCCACUCACAGUUCUGCAGCCACCUGCCUUCUUAGGGAUUUAUGAGCUGGCAAAUGUUCAAAGUUAGCUGAAGAUCAUGGGGAGGAACUGACAGGCGUCACCUUGAAUGUGGGCUUUCGUGAAAGGCAAGGAUCCCUUUGAUUAAGUUCCUAAUUAGAAAAGUGCUACUCAUUCCCAUAUGUUUGGAAAUGGGCAUUACAUAGGAUUUGUUGUUUAGUCGUUUAGUCGUGUCCGACUCUUCGUGACCCCCUGGACCAGAGCACGCCAGGCACUCCUGUCUUCCACUGCCUCCCGCAGUUUGGUCAAACUCAUGCUGGUAGCUUCUAGAACACUGUCCAACCAUCUUGUCCUCUGUCGUCCCCUUAUCCUUGUGCCCUCCAUCUUGCCCAACAUCAGGGUCUUUUCAGGAGUCUUCUCUUCUCCUGAGGUGGCCAAAGUAUUGGAGUCUCAGCUUCACGAUCUGUCCUUCCAGUGAGCACUCAGGGCUGAUUUCAUUCAGAAUGGAUAGGUUUGAUCUUCUUGCAGUCCAUGGGACUCUCAAGAGUCUCCUCCAGCACCAAUUACAUAGGAUACCAGGAUACAAUCACUUGCAAUAAUGUGAGGAAAAGAGUACGGCCAUUCUCACUGCUCCCCAUCACAGUAACACACCCUCUUAAGUUUGUUAGGAAGUGUAUAGUUUAUUAGUGUUUAUAUAUUACUGUUGUUGAUUUUUUUGAUUGGUCUAAACCACAGAGCCUAGGGCUUGCUGAUCAGAAGGUCGGCAGUUCGAAUCCCCGCGACGGGGUGAGCUCCCGAGCUCCUGCCAACCUAGCAGUUCGAAAGCAAGUCAAAGUGCAAGUAGAUAAAUAGAUACUUCUCUGGCGGGAAGGUAAACGGCAUUUCCGUGUGCUGCUCUGGUUUCGCCAGAAGCGGCUUAAUCAUGCUGGCCACAUGACCCAGAAGUGUAUGCCGGCUCCCUUGGCCAAUAAAGCGAGAUGAGCGCCGCAACCCCAGAGUCGUCAGUGACUGGACCUAAUGGUCAGGGGGUCCCUUUACCUUUACCUUUGAUUAUUUUUAUUAUGUAUUUUCUGCUUUGUAUAUUGCAGUUUUGAGUUGUGAACUACCCUGAGACCUUCAAGUAUAGGGCAGUACACAAAUAAUAAUAAUAAUAAUAAUAAUAAUAAUAAUAAUAAUAAUAUGGGAGCCUUUCUGUAUGUGCACAAGUUCUUUGCACAGUUUAGAACUUUGCAAGAUCAGGAUUCUCAGUUGCACCUGUGAGCUUUGAAUGCCUGAACAAGGCUCAUGAGCUCGCUAGAAGACAGCAAGGAAUGGUUAGAUGAAAAAUCAAAAGCACAAAUACAGUAACAUCUGGUGUGAUGGGGCAAAGCAACAGAGCCACACUUCCGACUGUGGCAUUGCAAGGUCAUGGCUUCCAUGGGGGAGAUGUUCAAACCAGUUCACAUGUCAAGGUGAACCUACCCAACCUGCACUUUGCCCAACAGCACGUGAAGUGAAAUUCGCACUUUCUGAAUCAAAAAACCCAACCAACCUUCAAAAUGUGGUAGGUCUACAAAUUUGGCAAUGCAGUUUUCCAUCCAAGGAAAGUCUCCAACGAUGGGGUAAAGUGAGCAUACAAAUGCUUAUAUUAGGAAAAAUAAUGCAUGCUAAUAGGCUUUGCAAAAGUUUGUCUAUUGGGAAGAUUUGCAGGUGGAAAUGUGCCUGCUGUGGGAAUUUCAACUAAAAUGCAGGUGAAUUUUCAUGAAGUUAAAAAAAUAAUAACGCAAAGGACGUGGAAAUGUGGAGGACCGCACUUAAGAUUGGAAACAUGAGAAACUGAGGGAAACCAAAAUGGCCACAUUCUCCCAUCCCUAAUUGGCAAGAGUGCUUGGCUGGCUACGCCAGUCUCAUUACCUCCCUGACCCAGUCUUCGCAGGUAAAGGUAAAAGAACCCUGGACGGUUAAGUCCAGUCGAAUUUGACUAUAGGUUGUGGCACUCAUCUCUGCUUUCAGGCCAAGAGAGCCGGUGUUUGUCCAUAGACAGCUUUCCAGGUCAUGUGGCCAGCACGACUAAACCACUUCUGGCACACGGAACACCAUGACAAGUGCCAGAGCGCACGGAAACGCUAUUUACCUUCCCGCCGCAGUGGUACCUAUUUGUCUACUCAUGCUGGUGUGCUUUUGAACUGCUAGGUUGGCAGGAGCUGGGACAGAGCAACAGCUCACCCCACUGUGCGGAUUCGAACUGUCGACCUUUCAGCAAGCGCAAGAGGCUCGUGGUUUGGACCACAGCGCCACCCGCAUCCAACUGCGCAGGUAAGCUGUAGUGAGGCUGGUGUCAGGAGGGUGACUCUGAUCCACUACACCAGCUGCUACGCAGCCCAGCAGUGCUCCUUUCCUCGAAUAACAAGUGCUGCGUGGCUCUCAAAUCUCUCAGUAAAACGUAGCCUUAGAAGUAGAACGGAAAUGAAUCGGUUGCUCCCUCCCACCGCAAUUCUCUUCAGAGGUCUCACUUUAUGGCUUUUGAUGGCAAAUAUAAUAUUCUCUAAAUAUUCUCCAGAUAUUAAUAUAUUCAACGACUGUUUGAAGUACAGAACAUCGGCAUCUGAUACUUUGCACUAGCGUACAGAGCCAGCUUUUCUCUGCUCAAAUUGAAACACUCUGAAAAGCAGUCAAACAGCUUUGCAUUCUCUCGCCUGGGGGAAGCUUUGGGGUGGGGUGGCGGUGGGGGGAGGAGGAGGGGAGGAGAAUGUAUCUGGGUUUAAUACAGAGUUCACCAGGUUUUUUAGUAUUUUUGUUUAUACAUUUCAUUAAUUUUACAAUCAUUUUAACAUUUUCAAAGCUUGAUUUCCUUCCCCCUCUUUUUGCAACUCCUUAAAUUUAUUUUUAAAUAUCUUCUGCAUAUCCAAAUUCAUUUCAUUUGCUCAUUUAAUUAUCUACUUUAAAUAUAUACUCUUAUGAAGCUGUAGGUUGUUACAGUAAUCCUGCCAAUCUGCUUGCAAUUUACCUGUAAAUAUUCAAUAAACCAUUUCCAUUCUUAUAUAAAAAGAAUGUUAACUCGGUUUCUUAUUCUUCUGGCAAGUUUCGCCAUUUCUGCAUAUUCCAUAAGUUUUUGUAUCCAUUCUUCCUUUUCUUGGGCUUCUGCUUCUUUCCAUUUUGGGGCAAGUCACAUUCUUGCCGCUGUAGUCGCAUACAUAAAUAAAUUUCUAUACAAUUUAGGUAGUUCUGUCCCUAUAAUUCCCAAAAGAAAAGCUUCUGGUUUUUUUUACAAAGGUUAUUUUGAACAUCCUUUUCAAUUCAUUAUACAUGAUUUCCUAGUAAGCUUUAACCUUACUACAAGACCACCCCAUAUGAUAAAAAGAACCUUCUUUCUCUUUACAUUUCCAACACUUGUUUGAUUUAGAUUUACACAUUUUUGCCAGUUUACUCGGUGUUAGAUACCAACAAUAUAUCACUUUCAUGUAAUUUUCUCUUAAACCAUAACAUGCUGAGAAUUUUAUAUCCCUAUUCCACAAUCAUUCCCAUGCUUCUAUGUCUAUAUUAUAAGCAGUAUCUAUUGCCCAGUGUAUCAUUGAGGAUUUUACUUGCUCAUCCUUUGUCUCCCAUUCCAACACUAUUUUAUGCAUUUUAGACAACACUUUUACAUUCCAUUCCAACAGGUUGUGAUAUUUGUUCCCCAAACCCUCAUAUCCUGUCUUUCUUAAAUACUUCAUUAAAAUGAUGAUAUUGUAACCAUGUUGUUGAUUUCCCUGACAAUUCCUUAAAUUCUUUCAAUUAAUACUCUCCUCUCUCUGAUAGCACCACUGUUGAGAGGGGAAGACAUUGGAGGCUGGUGCCUUUGGGGAAGGAGGGCUGACAGUAGGUGGAGCCAGAGAGCCAAUGGCAGGCAGAACCCACUUAUUCUAAUGUAGUCCCCGUCCUCCUCCCUGCUUCUUCUACAAGGGGCAACACUGAAACGGAGGAUGAGGAAGCUGAGAGGCAGCCCUACCCCCUGGAAUGAUGGUAAGUAAGAAUGCAGGCAGGAGCAGGGUGGCUGAGGCAAGGCCGGAUUUAGGUUUGAUGAGACCCUAAGCUACUGAAUGUAAUGGGGCCCUUUACAGUUGUACCUCGGAUUAAGAACUUAAUUCGUUCCGGAGGUCCGUUCUUAAUCUGAAACUGUUCUUAACCUGAAGCACCACUUUAGCUAAUAGGGCCUCCCGCUUGCCGCCACGCAAUUUCUGUUCUCAUCCUGAAGCAAAGUUCUUAACCCGAGGUACUAUUUCUGGGUCAGCGGAGUCUGUAACCUGAAGCUACUGUAACCCGAGGUACCACUGUAAAUGUCCAGCUGUCCUUUGCCAACAACAAAUUGCCGCUGUUUUUUGUGUUGAAUAUAUGCCAUAUGGUAAUUUAUGGACCUAACAGGUAUCUAAAGCCAUUUUCACCUAACAAAACAUGUAUGUUACCAAAGUAAUUGAUAGAGAAAUGAGCAAACCAGUGAUAUUUUAGGGAGCAGGCUAGCAGGCGGGGCCCAUUACUUACAUCAUAGACAAAACACUGUUGCUGUAUGUAGGUUUUAUUUUAUUUGUUUUUAUCCUAUAUUUUGGAAAUGUACAUCCAGGUGGGGGUGCGGAGGGCAAUUUCAGCAUCAAAGGGCCAACACUGAGUCCACUUCUGGCUUGAGCCACCUGUGGAUCCGCCCCAGCACUCCGCUCUGAUUCCAGUCCAAAUCCUGCGACGACUCAGCUCAAACCUUUCAUUCCUCUGCGGGCUAAUUUUCUGUAGCAUGGAGGGUCCUGCAGCAGAGGCGAGCAUGGUGCACAGUGCCACAGGAACAAACUGCACAAUGCCCAGGUUGCCCCACACUUUGUGCACAAAGAAGGGGCACUUUGGCAUGUGCCAUGCUUCAGCAGAACUGUUAAGCACAAGGAAACAACAAAACGCAGUUUGGCAGCGGUGCAAAGAUAUGAAUGUGCCAAACACCAAUUUUGUAAGGUUUCGGCAUCCUUUGAAUUCCCAAGGUGUUUUAUUCAUUUACUUCAUUAAAAUGAUUUAUUGCUUGCCCUUCAUAAGCACCGAUCAGGCCAGCGCGGGGUACAAGACAAAAUAAACAACACCAUAAACUAUACACAAACAUCAAUAAAACAAUAUCCAAACUCAUCGGAAAAGAAAGAAAAAAUACUUCAAGUCAAGGACUUGUGGGAACUUCAAAAGUGGGUGAAUUGGGAAGUUGCAAAAGACACUCAGACAGGGUUGAGGGGGGAGGCAGACAAGCGAUGGGAUAUCCUUUGUAUUGUGCAUUCAUGAUUACUAGUGUUUAUGGUGCUAUUGGAGCUGUCAUUCACGAUUCCACUUUCAGAACGUUUGGAGACUAAAAACCCAUAACUUCCUGCUAAAAUCCUCGAAAUUUUUCGUGCAAUAAAUGUUCUGGGGUUUGUACAGGCCGUCCCACCAUUGUUGCACUAUAGCCCUGCAAGACAGCCAUAAAGUGGUAACACUGGGGAAACCUUGCAGAACAACUAAUAAAGCAGAAUAAACCCACCACGAAUGCAUUGUGUCAAGAACACAUUGCAGGACCCAUCUGCAAUAAAACACCAGUCAGGAAGUGCUACGGUCAACAUGCAUUUCUGGAACACAGGUGGCUUCAAUCACAAAUACAGAGUUGGCGGUUAGCUUGCUAUAUUAACCACCUAGUUUAUAUCAACCUGUGUCCUCAUUUGUUGUUGUUGUUUAGUCGUUUAGUCGUGUCCGACUCUUCGUGACCCCAUGGACCCGAGCACGCCAGGCACUUCUGUCUUCCACUGCCUCCCGCACUUUGGUCAAACUCAUGUUAGUAGCUUCAAGAACACCAUCCAACCAUCUUGUCCUCUGUCGUCCCCUUCUCCUUGUGCCCUCCAUCUUUCCCAACAUCAGGGUCUUUUCCAGGGAGUCUUCUCUUCUCAUCAGGUGGCCAAAGUAUUGGAGCCUCAGCUUCACGAUCUGUCCUUCCAGUGAGCACUCAGGGCUGAUUUCCUUAAGAAUGGAUAGGUUUGAUCUUCUUGCAGUCCAUGGGACUCUCAAGAGUCUCCUCCAGCACCAUAAUUCAAAAGCAUCAAUUCUUUGGUGAUCAGCCUUCUUUAUGGUCCAGCUUUCACUUCCAUACAUCACUACUGGGAAAACCAUAGCUUUUACUAUACGGACCUUUGUUUGGCAAGGUGAUGUCUCUACUUUUUAAGAUGCUGUCUAGGUUUGUCAUUGCUUUUCUCCCAAGAAGCAGGCGUCUUUUAAUUUCGUGACUGCUGUCACCAUCUGCAGUGAUCAUGGAGCCCAAGAAAGUAAAAUCUCUCACUACCUCCAUUUCUUCCCCUUCUAUUUGCCAGGAGGUGAUGGGACCAGUGUCCUCAUUAGGAAUGGGCAAAUCUGUCCAUUUUGAUUCCUCUCGUUUUUCCAGCUGUGUUCUCUACAUUCCCACAUCAGUUGAUGAUUAUGAUUAUUUUUAAAGGCCCUCGUGAAUGUUCAGCAGCAGCUUAGUGUGAACCUCUCCUAAUGUACACGUUUCAUAUGCACUUUUGCCUGAUAUACACCUUUUUGCAAGCAAUUUCCCCUACUAUAAUGCCCUUUUUAAUGUUAUUUCCACUAAUAAAGGCACACUAAUAUUUGCACGCACUUUCCCCUAAUGUAUGCAUUUUUGUACACAUUGCUUGAGUGGAGAAGUGCAUUGCAAAGUUAAAGGAAGCGUGGGUUUUGAACAAUGGCUAUGUUAGCAAACAAUCAUAAUAGUAAUAAUAGUAAUAAUAAUAAUUUCAAUUUAUAUGCUGUCCUUUAUCGAAAGCUCCCAGGGUGGUAUAGAGCAUUAAGAACAUAUUUUAUGGAGCAUCAAUGAUAAAAACAUAAUAAAAAGCACAAUGACAGACAGCAUAGUCAUAAUAUAAUGAUGAUAACAGUCCCUCCCCUCCGUCCCACAGCUUUAACAGGUCAUAGAUUAUUUAAUGGCCAUAGGCCUGGGUAAAGAGGAAUGCUUUUGUCUGCUGCCCAGUGCUCCCCCCCCCCUAAAAAAUGUUUUAGGGAACUCUCAUUUUCCUACUCAAAUUGAAAUACUGCCCCUCAAUGAAGCCAAACUUAGAUUAGACUAAACCGCUUCUGGCACAACGGGACACCGUGGUGGAAACCAGAGCACACAAAAAUGCCGUUUACCUUCCCAUCGUAGCAGUACCUAUUUAUCUACUUGCACUGGCGUGCUUUCAAACUGCUAGGUUGGCAGGAGCUGGGACAGAGCAACGGGGGCUCACUCCAUAGUGGGGAUUCGAACUGCCAACCUUCUGAUCGGCAAGCCCAAGAGGCUCAGUGGUUUAGACCACAGCUCCACCCUUGUCCUGAAUAAAGAAGCACACAAUCACUGAUCGGUCCACCCGCCACUGUGAAGCUCAAAGCAGUGAAGAUGAUGCCUCCCCAGCUGUUGCCAUUGGCUGUGGGUUUCUUGUGAUGUCACAAAAGCACUUGGCAACUGAGUGAAUAUAAAGGCAGGCCAAGGGGAAAGCCCUUUUCUAUUUCCAGCAGGACACACCUGGCAGUGGAUGUGACAUUCAGCACUGCCCAGGUUUCUUUCACUUGGAGGAGGCAAACUGGUGAAUGGAAUGAGGCAAUCCUCUGGCAGUGGGAUACUAUGGAGCAAUAAUAAGGCAAGUUUGCUUGCUUGAAGGCUGCUGGUAUCUGUGAUUAGAAGCUGGUGUACAUCUCAUGAUGGAACUAACAGUAGCUUCUGGCACAAUGGGACAUUGUGGUGAAACCAGAGUGCACGGAAACACCAUUUACCUUCCCGCUGCAGUGGUACCUAUUUAUCUACUUGCACUGGUGUGCUUUCAAACUGCUAGGUUGGCAGGAGCUGGGACAGAGCACUGGGAGCUCACUGCGUCACACGGAUUCGAACCGCCGACCUUCCCGUCAGCAAGCCCAAGAGGCUCAGUGGUUUAGACCACAGUGCCACCUUCUCUUUUGGAAGGUAUGGCUUAAUCAGCCUCCUUGCACUCAUGCCCACUUACUCUGUCCCAGCUCUUUACUUUGGGAGAAUCUAACCGACACUGAAAACUUCUAAAUCUCUAUCUAGUGCUUUGUAGAGAAACAUUGACUGCAGAACCAUAGGCAUUUGAAGUCCCGGCCAGAUUGCGUGCUCUUCCAUUAUCAUUGUCAGUCUGGAGUGCCUUCCCCAAAAUCAAUGAAGUGUGUCUGAAUCAGCAUCAGCAUAACUCAGGAAGCCCAGACCUGGCUCUCUGCCUCCACCAGGAGCUAUUAUAGCCAUGUUGACAGUUUAACAAUCAUAUUGAAAACAAAAUAAAUGCCCUGUCCUGCCUGGAACCUAAUCAGCGUUAAGAUGCUACAGUAAUAAGCACUUUAUAAAUGCCUGCGAAUGGACACAGCGAAAGAUCUAUGCACCCGAGGAUGAUUAAAACAGAA